CUAAGUUAUCAUCUGUUGCCAAUAUUCCUCCUUUUUUUUCUCUCCCUUUUCCCUCCCCAAAGCCCCAGUACAUAGUGGUCUAUACACAACCAAAUUUUUUAAAACAGAAAUUAAAUAUUUAUAAGACUCAAUCUGGGAAACUGAUAAAGGAAAAAAUAUGCAAAGUUAAAUGUGUGAUAAAAUCCUGGUCAAAACUGAUGAAUGAAAGAAUCGUGAAAUAUUUGGCCAAGAUCCUCCACGGCCUUCAUUGCUUGCGCCUUUGCUCCUUUGUGGAAAGCUGACAAACUUGAAUAAAGUCCCAACUGGUUUGAAAAUUCUAAAUCUGUGCUGAGCUGACUUAGUGGUCGUUCAUUCUUCUGUCAAACGUCUAUUGAGUACUUCCUUACACACGUGUUAGUGAGAAAGAUGCUUAUUUUUCCCAAGACCAAAUCCACUUACUCAUUUCAUUUCUUUUGCUCUGACGAGAAGAUUCUUGCUAGUUCAGACAAUCAAUCAGGGCUUCCUUUCAAAGCCUCAUUAUCUAACGUCUGUGGAUAAAAGACCCGCACCCUCAGGCCCUGAUCCUGCAGCCCAAACAAUGUUUUUAUUUCUUGGGCGACCCCUGGGAAUUUAGAACAACUGUAUUGCCAUCCCACUGACAAAUGGAAACAAGGACCAGAGAGGCGACUUCUCUCUCAGCAAACAGUGUUACCUCAGAGUUUUCACUUUCAGUUGUUCGUGUCACUGAGGGGAACUUCGGGCGCCUGGACCUCUGUGGGGCUGGUUUUGGUGCAGGUGCCAGGGAGCAGGUCUAAGUCAAAGGUGACGUGGGAGGCGGUGGAGGUAGGUGAGUCCUUGGAAGGAGGGCAUCCUGUGGUUGUGAACCAUCCCACCGACUCCAGUAGCAUUUUCAGGAAGUGCCGGCAUCACCGACGUGCAGAUGACAGGACGGCCACAGCAGUGACGGGAGCAGCAACACUGAUGGUCUUCCAGUCCCUGCUGAAAACCAGCUCAUUUCUGCAAGGGAAUCACAGGCCCUUUACUCCUGAAAACCUGUGUUCAGAUCCUCUAUUUCUCUGUGAGGAUCCAGUGCCUUGUUGCUCGCUGUCUCCAGUCCCCCUGCCGCCCUGUCCCAGUGUGGUGGAGAGCGCCUGUUUCCACUGGGGACCUGCACAUGGCCGUUCAACCGCCUGAGGGAUGGAAGGGGCACCACGGCUCAGGCUGUUCGAAAUCCAUAUACUUUGAGAAUCGGGACCAGACCUGUCAGAAAUGAGAAAGGAACGCCACCUUCAUUUCUGUUAAGCCAACGCCACCUGGUGAGGUGUCCUGUGUCCACAGAUGUUUAAUCUCCCAGUUCUCGGAGUGUGUUAGCAUUUGCACGUGGGAUUCACUUGACUCCAGCUUCACCACGACCCUUUGCAUCUGUGUAGACAGAGGCAGGGCCACACAGGUGGCGUCAUGUUAGAUCUGUCAGACUGGUGGUGCUAACGGUGUCAACAAGGCUGAUGGCUGGGCGUGUGUUUGUCCCCUUCCAAAUUCUAAGUACUUCGUGGAAAGACUGUGAUUUAUUUGCCUUCUGUGUUUCGUGUAGGACUAAACAGCAGGUACGAAGGAGUGUUCUGUCAACAUUUGUCCAUUCAAUCCAUUCGUUCACUUAUCCGACACGUUUCCUGAGCCCAGCUCCGUGCCAGACACCAGGGCUGACGUGGAGACGGGUUAAUCUGAAGAGAGCAUCCUUCGCGACGGGUGGGAGGCGGUGUGGAGGGGACCCACCCGCCAGUGGAGCUCCUCGGCUGCGUGGAGCCAAGGAGCAGCCGUCUGGGAGCACAUUAUUAGCAGAGGAGAGGAUGUGACUGAGCCGUGGGCUUGUGUUAACCCAUCCAAUGGCUGCAUUCAAGCCAUCCCGGGGGACAGACGGUGAGGAUGUCGGCAGGUGAGGAUGGUCACUGGAAAUCCCUGCUCUCCCUCGCCUGUGGGGUUGACGGCAUCGCUGAAUCUCGGGUCCCUUGGUCUUUCCUAAGACAGUUACUCACCACACAAAAAGCCACAGUUGAGAGAAGAUGAACUCAGUUCCGACCCGCCUGGCUGAAUCGGCGCUUCAGGUCAGUUCAGUGGGAGUUUAUCCCUCCUCCUAUUUACUGGUCUUAGAUCUGCUUGGGACUCCUGAAAUAUCUGGUUGAGAGAGCUCAAUUGUCUUCAUCUUAAUUCAACAUUUAUUGAUCCACAGAUAGGUGCCGACUGCUGGGGAGAAGGAGGUAACAAGACUCGUCCUGCUCAGCUGCAUUUCCUCUGGUGUAAAAAUGAGGCCGAUGACCCGGCCAGCGAUUGCAGCGGUAUCUGGGGCGGCCACUGUCUCCACGAGGAUUGAAGGAGAUGAUGCCCCUCCUGCAAAAGGCAGUGCUCAGAACACGGUGCCUGUGACUCUGUGGGGACGGGCUUCCACCAGCUGUUCACAAAUGCAAGGGUCGGUCUCCACGGGCCGGAGGGAGACGAGUGCCGACCGCCCGUUGCUGAUGGAAGUGACUUGGGAACGCUCAGUCAGCAUUGUGGUUGUAAGGAAGGAUCCUGCAUCUUCUGUUGCUUUGGACUUCACCCAGAUGCUCCUCGACGUUGACACACCAUCACUCUGUCCUUGGACAAAGACUCGGCGAGACUCUGGGUCCUCGGGACAAAGCCCGGCCCCUCCCAGCAGGGUUGACCGAAGAUCCUUGGAGACAAGAGCAGGUGGACACACGGCGUGGCGCAGGCCUUCUGGGAGGAUUCUGGAGACCGCAUAGGAUCCUCGCAAGUUGCAAGAUGGGGAUUCAGCCUCAGGUUUUCUGUCCCUAAGCCGGCAUCUCACACCGUCGCCUCUGGAACAGGCAGCCAGCGUGGCCCUGCAGAGAGCGCGUCGCCGAGCAGUCAGGCACCACUGAGGUGGGGCAGCCUUGUCAGCCAGCAGAACAGACGCUCCCAGCUGGAGCUGAGACCCUCCCAGUCCGUCUCGGGAGGCGAGAGGAGGAGGACCACCGAAAGGCCACACGAGGGCCCGUGGCGCGGCUGGGGUCACAGGUGGGACCCUGUCAGCCAGGUCCCAUCUGGCCCCACAUCCUGGUCGUAAACGCUCCCCGACUCCAACCAGCCCCUCCCUCUUCUCAACACUCAGGGCUUUAGAAAGGCAGCAGAGGUUGUGCAGAUGGACUAAACCCACUCUGCACACAGGCUGUGGAGACAGAGUGAGCAGGUGAUGGAAACAGAGCCCUCUGUGCACAACCACCUGUUAUGGGGCAGAUGGAAGGGGCCGGGACCCGGGGAAGAUCCCCUCCCGGGAGCAGCUCUCCAGGGUGAGGAGGGGCCCUCUCAGCCUCUUGUUUUCCGUCACAUCUGCCUCUGGGACCCUGGUUUCCCAGUGCCACGCUGACCGUGACUCGUCUCCACCGUCCUGCUCUUGGUGACCACAGCAGUGUCAGCAGUCCUGCUGCUCUGGACCCCACGGGGCUGUUGAGAAAGCUCAGGGGCAGGAGGGGCCUGGCGGAGGCACUGUGUGCUCAGAGAGAGGCAGGGGGACGGAUGUGGGCCUGGACUGUGCGGCAGGUGAGGGGCAGGCGGGACGGGGACAGACGCUGAGGUGCGUGACCAGGAGGGAAGCUCAGGGGCUUUCAGCCCCCUACACUCUUCCCUCGGAAGCCGUGCGCCCAGCCUGGGAGAGCCGGCGAGGAGUACUCGUGACUCCAACCCUCCAGCCUCCUCCCCGCCACCCAUGCUGCAGGGAGGGGAGGAGACAACAGGGAGGGGCUCUGUCCUCGUGGGAAAAUACGCAUAAAAUUUACCAUUUCUCAGUGUACGGUUCAGCGGCCUUAAGUACCCUCCACUGUUAUAUACCGUCAGCCCCCUCCAUCUCCAGAACUUUCUCAUUA
ensembl:lncRNA